rnacentral:ncRNA from 10 species
GGUAUGCAUCUAGAAGUCACUUGGCGACAAGUGAUGGCAACCGAGCCCACCAGGCCACGGUGCCUCGCUGUAACGGGGAUGCGGCGCGACGAGCGCAAAAGAACUGGUGCUC